rnacentral:rRNA from 1 species
GAUGAACGCUAGCGGCAGGCUUAAUACAUGCAAGUCGAGGGGCAGCGGGAGUAGCAAUACUUGCCGGCGACCGGCGCACGGGUGCGUAACACGUAUGUAAUCUGCCCAUCACAGGAGGAUAGCCCGGAGAAAUUCGGAUUAAUACUCCAUAAUAGAAGAUAAAGCAUUUUAUUUCUUGAAAGUUCCGACGGUGAUGGAUGAACAUGCGACUGAUUAGUUUGUUGGUGAGGUAACGGCUCACCAAGACUACGAUCAGUAGGGGUACUGAGAGGUUAAACCCCCACACUGGUACUGAGACACGGACCAGACUCCUACGGGAGGCAGCAGUAAGGAAUAUUGGACAAUGGCCGCAAGGCUGAUCCAGCCAUGCCGCGUGCAGGAAGACGGACCUGUGGUUUGUAAACU